UACAGCUCACCACAGCCUCCACCUCCCAGGCUCAGGUGAUCCUCCCACCUCAGCCUCCCAAAUAGCUGGGACUGCAGGUGAUUUGGCAGAUGACUGUAGCCUUGAUAAGUACUUGAAAAGAAUUGAAUUGGUGCUCUUCUGAUGGGCUUGUUUUUAUUUUUUCCACCCUCCUUGGCCUCCCAAAGUGAUGAGGUUACAGGCAUGAGCCACUGCACCUGGCCUGGAUUU
rnacentral:lncRNA from 1 species